CCCAUUCACAGUCCAGGGAUUGAAUCUCAUUAACACCACUGCCUUCAAUUAAGUUAUUUCUGAUUUAUGCCUUUUUUCAUGGAAUGAAU